rnacentral:rRNA from 1 species
GGGCGAUUGGGGUUUGAUCCUGGCUCAGGACGAACGCUGGCGGCGUGCUUAACACAUGCAAGUCGAACGAGGCCCCGCCUUCGGGUGGGUGUUCUAGUGGCGAACGGGUGAGUAACACGUGGGCAACCUGCCCCCGGCUCUGGGAUAACUCCAAGAAAUUGGGGCUAAUACCGGAUAUUUCCGCUGACCGCAUGGUCUGGUGGUGGAAAGGGUUUCCGGCUGGGGAUGGGCCCGCGGCCUAUCAGCUUGUUGGUGGGGUAGUGGCCUACCAAGGCGACGACGGGUAGCCGGCCUGAGAGGGUGACCGGCCACACUGGGACUGAGACACGGCCCAGACUCCUACGGGAGGCAGCAGUGGGGAAUAUUGCGCAAUGGGCGAAAGCCUGACGCAGCGACGCCGCGUGGGGGAUGACGGCCUUCGGGUUGUAAACCUCUUUCAGCAGGGACGAAGCGCAAGUGACGGUACCUGCAGAAGAAGCACCGGCCAACUACGUGCCAGCAGCCGCGGUAAUAGCU